AUUGCUGGGUGGAUUAGUGGCGAACGGGCGAAAAACACGUGAGUAACCUGCCCCUGACUCUGGGAUAAGCGUUGGAAACGACGUCUAAUACUGGAUAUGACUGCCGGCCGCAUGGUCUGGUGGUGGAAAGAUUUUUUGGUUGGGGAUGGACUCGCGGCCUAUCAGCUUGUUGGUGAGGUAAUGGCUCACCAAGGCGACGACGGGUAGCCGGCCUGAGAGGGUGACCGGCCACACUGGGACUGAGACACGGCCCAGACUCCUACGGGAGGCAGCAGUGGGGAAUAUUGCACAAUGGGCGAAAGCCUGAUGCAGCAACGCCGCGUGAGGGAUGACGGCCUUCGGGUUGUAAACCUCUUUUAGUAGGGAAGAAGCGUAAGUGACGGUACCUGCAGAAAAAGCACCGGCUAACUACGUGCCAGCAGCCGCGGUAAUACGUAGGGUGCAAGCGUUGUCCGGAAUUAUUGGGCGUAAAGAGCUCGUAGGCGGUUUGUCGCGUCUGCUGUGAAAUCCCGAGGCUCAACCUCGGGCUUGCAGUGGGUACGGGCAGACUAGAGUGCGGUAGGGGAGAUUGGAAUUCCUGGUGUAGCGGUGGAAUGCGCAGAUAUCAGGAGGAACACCGAUGGCGAAGGCAGAUCUCUGGGCCGUAACUGACGCUGAGGAGCGAAAGCGUGGGGAGCGAACAGGAUUAGAUACCCUGGUAGUCCACGCCGUAAACGUUGGGCGCUAGAUGUAGGGACCUUUCCACGGUUUCUGUGUCGUAGCUAACGCAUUAAGCGCCCCGCCUGGGGAGUACGGCCGCAAGGCUAAAACUCAAAGGAAUUGACGGGGGCCCGCACAAGCGGCGGAGCAUGCGGAUUAAUUCGAUGCAACGCGAAGAACCUUACCAAGGCUUGACAUACACCGGAAACGGCCAGAGAUGGUUGCCCCCUUGUGGUCGGUGUACAGGUGGUGCAUGGUUGUCGUCAGCUCGUGUCGUGAGAUGUUGGGUUAAGUCCCGCAACGAGCGCAACCCUCGUUCUAUGUUGCCAGCGCGUUAUGGCGGGGACUCAUAGGAGACUGCCGGGGUCAACUCGGAGGAAGGUGGGGAUGACGUCAAAUCAUCAUGCCCCUUAUGUCUUGGGCUUCACGCAUGCUACAAUGGCCGGUACAAAGGGCUGCGAUACCGUAAGGUGGAGCGAAUCCCAAAAAGCCGGUCUCAGUUCGGAUUGAGGUCUGCAACUCGACCUCAUGAAGUCGGAGUCGCUAGUAAUCGCAGAUCAGCAACGCUGCGGUGAAUACGUUCCCGGGCCUUGUACACACCGCCCGUCAAGUCAUGAAAGUCGGUAACACCCGAAGCC
rnacentral:rRNA from 1 species